rnacentral:rRNA from 1 species
UACGAAGGGGGCUAGCGUUGCUCGGAAUCACUGGGCGUAAAGCGCACGUAGGCGGCUUUCUAAGUCAGGGGUGAAAUCCUGGAGCUCAACUCCAGAACUGCCUUUGAUACUGGAGAGCUUGAGUCCGGGAGAGGUGAGUGGAACUCCGAGUGUAGAGGUGAAAUUCGUAGAUAUUCGGAAGAACACCAGUGGCGAAGGCGGCUCACUGGCCCGGUACUGACGCUGAUGUGCGAUAGCGUGGGGAGCAAACAGG